AUUGAACGCUGGCGGCAUGCCUUACACAUGCAAGUCGAACGGUAACAGGUUAAGCUGACGAGUGGCGAACGGGUGAGUAAUGUAUCGGAACGUGCCCAGUCGUGGGGGAUAACUGCUCGAAAGAGCAGCUAAUACCGCAUACGACCUGAGGGUGAAAGCGGGGGAUCGCAAGACCUCGCGCGAUUGGAGCGGCCGAUAUCAGCUUAGGUAGUUGGUGGGGUAAAAGCCCACCAAGCCGACGAUCUGUAGCUGGUCUGAGAGGACGACCAGCCACCCUGGGACUGAGCCACGGCCCAUACUCCUACGGGAGGCAGCAGUGGGGAAUUUUGGACAAUGGGCGCAAGCCUGAUCCAGCCAUGCCGCGUGCGGGAAGAAGGCCUUCGGGUUGUAAACCGCUUUUGUCAGGGAAGAAAAGGUUCUGGUUAAUACCUGGGACUCAUGACGGUACCUGAAGAAUAAGCACCGGCUAACUACGUGCCAGCAGCCGCCGUAACAC
rnacentral:rRNA from 1 species